GGGCGCAGCCUGAUGGAGCACACCGCGUGAGUGAAGAAGGGUUUCGGCUCGUAAAGCUCUGUUGUUGGAGAAGAACGUGCGUGAGAGUAACUGUUCACGCAGUGACGGUAUCCAACCAGAAAGUCACGGCUAACUACGUGCCAGCAGCCGCGGUAAUACGUAGGUGGCAAGCGUUAUCCGGAUUUAUUGGGCGUAAAGCGAGCGCAGGCGGUUGCUUAGGUCUGAUGUGAAAGCCUUCGGCUUAACCGAAGAAGUGCAUCGGAAACCGGGCGACUUGAGUGCAGAAGAGGACAGUGGAACUCCAUGUGUAGCGGUGGAAUGCGUAGAUAUAUGGAAGAACACCAGUGGCGAAGGCGGCUGUCUGGUCUGCAACUGACGCUGAGGCUCGAAAGCAUGGGUAGCGAACAGGAUUAGAUACCCUGGUAGUCCAUGCCGUAAACGAUGAGUGCUAGGUGUUGGAGGGUUUCCGCCCUUCAGUGCCGGAGCUAACGCAUUAAGCACUCCGCCUGGGGAGUACGACCGCAAGGUUGAAACUCAGAAGAAUUGACGG
rnacentral:rRNA from 2 species